UACGGAGGGGACUAGCGUUGUUCGGAAUUACUGGGCGUAAAGCGCACGUAGGCGGAUUUGUAAGUCAGGGGUGAAAUCCCGGGGCUCAACCUCGGAACUGCCUUUGAUACUGCCAAUCUCGAGUCCGGAAGAGGUGAGUGGAAUUCCUAGUGUAGAGGUGAAAUUCGUAGAUAUUAGGAAGAACACCAGUGGCGAAGGCGGCUCACUGGUCCGGUACUGACGCUGAGGUGCGAAAGCGUGGGGAGCAAACAGG
rnacentral:rRNA from 1 species